CAUUAGUCUCAGGUUGGGCUGAGACAAGAGAGAGAGAGAAGUCUGCGGCUUACUUUUAGCACUCGCUUUUUGAAAGAGCGUGGGAGUGAGGACAAUGGUGUUGGGCAGACUCAAGAAUCUCGUCACCGGCAAUUUGGCAUUACCAUCGAAGGUUGUCUUCCUUCUCGUCUUCUUUGUUACUGCUGAUUCAGGUUUCCCCACGGGUUGUUUCUGUUGAUAUUGUAUUUCGCAGUCUGAACAAUUUUAUGGAGACUCAACUCGCACACCCACAGCUAUGAAAAAUUGGAAACUUCGGGAUGGUGAGAGACACCUCCGAUGCUUAAAUCAAUGCAUGAUUUUUUAUGCGAGGAGUAUAUAUAAUUUGAGGAUAUAUGAUGUCUGAGAGCCCUCCCCUCAGUGAAGGAGAUGGUUUAUAUACCUGGUUAGGAUGACUUCUGCAAAGGGAAUCGUGGGAGUGUCGGUCCGUAUUCGGGUCACAUCUCCCUAUUAGCUAACUGCUGUGCGACGGACUUGCAGGGCAUGAUCAUGGCGACCACUGGCAUCCCAAGAGGCACAUCGUGGCAUGCGUACCCCUAGGCUUCGGUGAAUGCAACGUGGUUCUCUCAUUGUGGCAUGCUCGUCCCUGCGUCUCAUUUAAUGUGGUGUGGCCUAAGCUAGGUGACCCACUUUCCAGAUUUGCCCAGCCACCAGGGUUAGAGAUAGGGGUGUAGGUGUGAGACAACUUGCCCUUCAACUCCCUACUGCCGCGUGUUGCCCAGCUGUUCCUUCCCUUCGACUUCUUGGCAGGCCUGCCCCGGUCCAUCCCUUGCUUUCAGGGCCGUGAGCCGGGCGCCCCCCCCCCCCCCCCCCCCCCCCCAAAAAAAAAACAGUUUCCACGCCAUCCUCAUCGACUCAAUGCGGCCUAGCAGCGUUAAAUUGGAGUGAGUGUUAGCUAGUUCAUUUGGCUUUACUGCGAGGUUGAACAAAUCCAAAUCUCACAGCCAUAGUCAUAAGUAAUUCUCAAUUGGAAGAGCUUGGCCCUGCCAUCUCUGCAGCCUAUGUACUCCUAAUUCCGGCCGGCGGUAUCUUUGCCUGUAAACUCCUCCAUUUUUUUUUUUCAAAUUGUUUGCUUCCUACACAUAAACGCUUUAAUCUCCUAUCAUUCCAUGGGUUGCAAAUAUUUGGCUUGCAGAUUGUCCUUUGAACCAGCCAGAAGCUCAAAAUCUUGUCAGUCAUCUCUACUGCUCUGCCAAACUACUAGCAUUGUUGUUUCCGUGAGCCAACCAUAGGCUUUCUGCAAUAUGAUUGGCAGCUACCUGAAAGCUGACGCCUGUAGGCUCUUUUGUUAGGACUCUCUAUCCGUGCAUUGGCUAUGUUUAUCUCAGUGACAGUCAUUGAUCAUUGAGUUUUCUCUAAUAUGAUGAAGUAUUGCUCAGAAGUCACCUACCUCGUGUUACUUAUUAAGGUUCCCAAGGAAAAAAGUUCCCUGUAGAGAAUGGAAAUGAAGACAGGGAAGUUUUCAUCUUCCAUUGAGUUUCAACGUCUCUUCAAAAGGACUUCCACCAUGUAUUUACCCCAAGUACUCAAGUAAUGAAACUUCCAUUUCUCACUUUUAGUGUUGUAAUUAUAGUAUAAUGCCUGGUUACUUCCCAGUUGGGUAAACUCAGGGCAUGACGGAAAAGGUUAAAAACAAUAGAAAAUAAUGGAUCCAAACUUCUUACAGUACAAGUCA